rnacentral:lncRNA from 1 species
CCACCGUCACCACCACAGGCCACCAUCGGCCACAAGAUCGGACCCAAACGAACGGCCACCACCCCCUCUUCCCUUUCCGAUCGAUCGCAGCCCUUGGAAUCGCCGGUUUUCGCCGGAAAACUUCCAAAAACAAGCCGGUUUUCACAGAUUUUGCAACCGCCCGUUCUCCCUCAUUUCUCCCCCAAAUUUAACGAGUAAGGUAUGAAUUUCUACCUAUUUUCCAUGCUCUAGCUGAUGGUUGGGUAGGAUUGCAUCGAUUUUGAACGUAGGUAGCUCGAUUUUCGAAUUGAAAUUCGGCCGAUUUUGGGAUCUCGAUUCCGGCCACUUCCG